rnacentral:rRNA from 1 species
AUGGGGCCGGCGGCAGGAGAUGGGACGAGGAGGAAGACGGCGUGUGUCCCCUGUGGGUACGGGUACGUCGCGUCGGCGCUAGUCAAGCUGCUCCUGGAGAAGGGAUACGCAGUCAAGACCACCCUCAGAAACCCCGAUGACGUGGUGAAAAACAAGCACCUCAAGGAUUUGGAGGCGCUCGGCCCCUUGGAGGUGUUCCGUGCAGACCUCGACGAAGAGGGCAGCUUCGACGACGCCGUCGCCGGCUGCGGCUACGUCUUCUUCGACGCCCCUCCGGUGAACCUCCACGCAGAGAACCCUGAGCGCGUGGUGCUGACAUCGUCGGCGGCCGCGGUGUCCACCUUGACGCCGGAAGGCGACGGUCAUGUCCUGGACGAGGAAUCCUGGGCCGACGUCGAGUUCCUCGCGUCGGGAAAGACUCAUGCUUGGGUACACACACUUGAGUAUUUUGAUUUUCAGUUCGUUGAGUCAUUCGAAACGAUGAUGACGCUGGCCUACCGUUGUGUAGGGGUUCCCUGUCUCCAAGGUGCGACUGGAGAAGGCGGCGAGCGAGUUCGCGCUGGAGAAGGGCAUCAGCCUCGUCACUGUGUGCCCGGGCCUCAUGGUGGCGCGGCGCCGGCGGCCAAGGUCCAUCCCAGCGUCCUCGACGUCCUCUCGCUGCUCUCCGGCGAUGAAGCGAGGGUCCGCACCCUUAAAUUCAUCGUGAGGAUGUCUGGCUCCAUCCCGUUGGUCCACGUCGACGACGUCUGCCGCGCCGAGAUAUUCGUGGCCGAGGAGGAGGCGGCGUCGGGGCGGUACAUCUGCUGCAGCCUCAACACCACCGUAGUGGAGCUAGCCCGCUUCUUGGCGGCCAAGUACCCGCACUACAACGUCAACACCGACCGAUCGACAGCGUUAGGGUUCAUGGAUGGUGUUGACGAGGCGGCGGCGGCGACUCCAUUAGGUGUGUCUCUCCUUCUGCUCUGUCCCCGUUGCUGUGGCGUUGUCUCCGACAUCAUGGUGGAGCAGGGAGGUUUUGUCGUUCAGGAGUACGCGCAGGCGGUUGUCUACGCAAGUGACAGCUGGAAGAUGGAGUAUCUUGUGUUGGGUCUGUGGUCGAAGGCGGGCAGUUCUGGUUUCCUUCUCCGACGUCGUCGUCAUGCGAGGGUGUCAGUUCUAAAGUUCGAUGGCGUGUCCGGGGACAUGUUGCCCCGGUCUGAUUCUUUCAACGGCUAUGAUUUUGCUUUUGGCAAACUACUUUGA